rnacentral:rRNA from 1 species
UACGUAGGGACCAAGCGUUGUUCGGAUUUACUGGGCGUAAAGGGCGCGUAGGCGGCUUAACAAGUCACUUGUGAAAUCUCCGGGCUUAACUCGGAACGGCCAAGUGAAACUGUCAAGCUAGAGUGCAGAAGGGGCAAUCGGAAUUCUUGGUGUAGCGGUGAAAUGCGUAGAUAUCGGGAGGAACACCAGUGGCGAAGGCGACUACCUGGCCUGUUCUUGACGCUGAGGCGC